CCUUUGUCUGCAGGAUAGGGACGCAACCUCCAGCAGCCUCGCGUGGCCCCAGAGUUCCGGCAAGGGUCACGCAGGCAGAAAGGCUGUUGGAUUCCCCUGGAACUGCAUUUGGAAACAGAUGUGAUCUGCGUGUGGGAGAGAAAGCCAAGCCCUGGUGCUCUGGAACCUAAAGACGAAUGUCCCUUCCACCCAGGAAUUUCUCUCUCAGACAUCAUCUGACCUGUGUGCAAAGCUGAGCAUGAGUGACUCCAUACCUCUCAGCUAGAAUAACGGAAAGCACUUAACUUCCCAUCCUUCAGAGUCCAACUAGCUAGAUCUAUGACAGACGCACAGAGUGGCCAAUGAGCAGAAGCACUGAAGAAAACAGACACAGUCUCCUGUUUCCAAGACAGCAAAGAGAACUGCAAAGGAGUAUGUGAAUCCAGGAGCACAUGCUGAGCUGCAUGCCUUUUAUGUUUGAUCUGACAUCUGAAACAACUGUGGUGGCAGAAACCACAGAUCUUCAGGAAAAAAUUAAUUCCUUAACAUUUCAU
ensembl:antisense 1810013D15Rik RIKEN cDNA 1810013D15 gene